ACGCAUUGAAGUUUAGAAUGUGAUGAUAGGGUCUGUCACCACCGUCUGACAAAGCUGGACUGUCUUCCCAUGGAAGAAUAAGCAU
rnacentral:snoRNA from 1 species